rnacentral:rRNA from 1 species
UGGGGAAUAUUGGACAAUGGGCGCAAGCCUGAUCCAGCCAUGCCGCGUGAGUGAUGAAGGCCUUAGGGUUGUAAAGCUCUUUUGUCCGGGAAGAUAAUGACUGUACCGGAAGAAUAAGCCCCGGCUAACUUCGUGCCAGCAGCCGCGGUAAUACGAAGGGGGCUAGCGUUGCUCGGAAUCACUGGGCGUAAAGGGCGCGUAGGCGGACUCUUAAGUCGGGGGUGAAAGCCCAGGGCUCAACCCUGGAAUUGCCUUCGAUACUGAGAGUCUUGAGUUCGGAAGAGGUUGGUGGAACUGCGAGUGUAGGGGUGAAAUUCGUAGAUAUUCGCAAGAACACCAGUGGCGAAGGCGGCCAACUGGUCCGAUACUGACGCUGAGGCGCGAAAGCNUGGGGAGCAAACAGGAUUAGAUACCCUGGUAGUCCACGCCGUAAACGAUGAAUGCCAGCCGUUGGGGAGCAUGCUCUUCAGUGGCGCAGCUAACGCUUUAAGCAUUCCGCCUGGGGGAGUACGGUCGCAAGAUUAAAACUCAAAGGGAAUUGACGGGGUCAUAGCUGUUUUCCAUG